rnacentral:rRNA from 1 species
AGCAGCCGCGGUAAUUCCAGCUCCAAUAGCGUAUAUUAAAGUUGUUGCAGUUAAAAAGCUCGUAGUUGAAUUUCGGGGUUAGUAGGUUGGUCAUGCCUCUGGUAUGUACUGAUCUCACUGAUUCCUCCUUCCUGAUGAACCGUAAUGCCAUUAAUUUGGUGUUGCGGGGAAUUUGGACUGUUACUUUGAAAAAAUUAGAGUGUUUAAAGCAAGCUAACGCUUGAAUACAUUAGCAUGGAAUAAUGAAAUAGGACGUUCGAUCCUAUUUUGUUGGUUUCUAGGAUUGACGUAAUGAUUAAUAGGGAUAGUUGGGGGCAUUAGUAUUCAAUUGUCAGAGGUGAAAUUCUUGGAUUUAUUGAAGACUAACUACUGCGAAAGCAUUUGCCAAGGAUGUUUUCAUUAAUCAAGAACGAAAGUUAGGGGAUCGAAGACGAUCAGAUACCGUCGUAGUCUUAACCAUAAACUAUGCCGACUAGGGAUCGGAUGAUGUUAAUUUUUAAUGACUCAUUCGGCGCCUUAA